CUAAGAGGUGGGAAGAGGAGAGGAGUAGCUGGAGUGAAUGCAUAGAAGAUGUAAAAGAGGAAGCAUUUCCCAAAAGGUCCUUGGCAAAAACACACAACAUUAUGAGAGAGCGAAGAAUAGAUCACUUGGCGGAAAUGCAGAGUGGACAGAGGAAGAGUUAGGACAUGAGGCUGCAAGGAAAAAUGUCCCUGCUGAUGUCAAAGCCUGUAACUCAGGACUCCUGAGGGUAGAGGGGAAACACUGAACAAUUCUUAGGCAGAGGAUUUCAUGACUCUGCAUUUUAGGAAGAUCAUUCAGGCUCUAGUAUGCAGAAUGGAUUGGACUGAGAGAAAACUACAGGCAGGAAGAUCACACAGGAGACAUUUACAAUAACAGGCAAGAAGUGGUGGAGAUUUAACUGGGAUGAUGCAGAGGAAUGGAGAGAAAAGGGGGUGGACACAAGAUGAAUAGAACCUGGUGUUUUUUCCACUCAUUCAUUCACUUGAUCAACUUCUGCAUGUCUGCUUUGAGACAUUACAUGCAAGGGGUGUGCAGGAAGAUUCCAAGGUUGUCCCCCAGAUUUCUGAACUGAUAAUUAAAAGUAAGAAGAUCAUGAGGAGGAUGCUGACCUGGAGCCCUGCAUAUUAUCACUGUCACGUCAGGCGGCAAUGGUGGAUAAAGAGUUACGCUGGUAUAAAAUCCUUCUCAUGGUACAAACAGUAAGAAUUUGGUGGUUACAGAGCAAAUUCAACCUCAGUUUACACUGUAUCAUGGUAAACAUCUUCAGCAACCAGUGCUUCAAUAAUUUAGUCAACCCUUGCUGCAUCUAAAAAUGCUGCUCUUUAACUAAAUCCACUCUGCACUUCAGACGAUAACAGAACUACACGGACGGCAUUCUUACUAAAGAGCUGAGCUUCUCCCUCAGUCCCUCCAGCUCCGUAAGCAACCUCAUCAGACAAAGGGUGCCCCGGGGUACUCUUCAUAAAACUGUUCAUCCCCAAGUCUCAGACAUCCCAAAACAUAACAAUUAACUCCAAUAUGUUAAAAGAAAAAUGAUGGGUUAACAGAGAAA